UUUCGUUGCAUUAGUUCAACAAAUCAAAUAAUUAAAUCAUGGGCCGAAAUGGAGGGGCUGGCCCAUGAGCAGAAAGCCACUCACUGCCUCACUUGUGAGACCGGGUCCAGCCCUUAGCUGUCAAAAUAUUCCACAAGAAGUACAUGGGCGGAGAGCUGCAGUUACUAACGUGGCUAAAGCUGAUUGGUCCAUUUCACGUGGCACUUAUUUUGAUUGGUG
rnacentral:misc_RNA from 1 species